rnacentral:rRNA from 1 species
UACGUAGGGGGCAAGCGUUGUCCGGAAUCAUUGGGCGUAAAGCGCGCGUAGGCGGCCUCAUAAGUCCGUUGUGAAAGUCAAAGGCUCAACCUUUGAAAGCCGGUGGAUACUGUGAAGCUAGAGUACGGAAGAGGCGAGUGGAAUUCCUGGUGUAGCGGUGGAAUGCGCAGAUAUCAGGAGGAACACCAAUAGCGAAGGCAGCUCGCUGGGACGUUACUGACACUGAGGCGCGAAAGCGUGGGGAGCAAACAGG